rnacentral:snRNA from 1 species
AUACUUACCUGGUAGGGGAGAUACCAUGAUCACUAAGGUGGUUCUCCCAGGGUGAGGCUCAUCCAUUGCACUCCGGGAGUGCUGACCCCUGCGAUUUCCCCAAAUGCGGAAAACUCGACUGCAUAAUUUGUUGUAGGCGGAGUGGAGGCUCUGA